GCGAUGCGUUAGAGAGGAGGCACAUUAUAUGAAAAACUUGGUGCUUUCAAAGGUCAUCCAGGCUAUUUCAAAGAAAAAGAGAUAUACAUCUUUUACUAGUCUCUGUUUCAAAAUCCCGAGGAUUAAAAAAAGAUAUGCGUAGUAGUAUGCUGCCUGGAGGAAACUAGUGAAGAAACAGAGGGUUACAAUGUCGACUGCGAAACUUACGCUCUUCCUAAUCCUCCCGCUCGCGAUCAUGAUUGAGUAUAUUUCAGCUGCGAGACCGGUAUCCGGUAUCCCACCUUGUGAGGGUAUGCAUUGCAACGGACCAGGCGACCAUGUCUGCAUACCAUAUUGCGAGUGCCUCCAGUUCGGCAGCGUGCACAGGUGCGUCAUGCUAGCUGCAAAUAAACGCAUAUACCGACGACCACGACGACCACGACCUGCACGGAUAUAUGCUCCUUUUCUGAAAGGUGUUUAAAGCAAUAAAGUUUACCGUCGCUCUUCUGA
rnacentral:lncRNA from 1 species